GGAAGUAAAAGUCGUAACAAGGUUUCCGUAGGUGAACCUGCGGAAGGAUCAUUGAAUCUAUCAAUACCAACACUGUGAACCAAUUUGUCUGGCCUCCCGCUCACCCGGGGCGUUCUGGCCGCAUUCACUUGCGACCACGAGCGGGCUCGGGAGCUUCGGCUCCUGGGUCGGUCUAUACUAACAUUAACACCAAACAAAACCAAUCUAAAGUGAAAAUGCAGUCGGCCUGGCCGCUGUAUCUAACCAAAGACAACUCUGUACAACGGAUAUCUUGGCUCUCGUAACGAUGAAGAACGCAGCGAAAUGCGAUACGUAGUGUGAAUUGCAGAAUUCCGUGAACCAUCAAAUCUUUGAACGCAUAUUGCGCUCAAGGCUUCGGCCGAGAGCAUGCCUGCCUCAGCGUCGGGUUAAUAUCACUCCAAACAACCCAUGUGGUUUAGUCCGAGUGGAACUGGCUGUCCCAAUGCGCCGCAACUCAUACUUGCGACCAAGCGCGAUGGGUCGGCUGAAGUGCAGAGGUUAACGCAAGGACCCUUAUGGGCCGCAACUGGGUAGGCAGCUCACGCUUGCUAUUUCUAGUUGUUGGCUUGGACCAUGCGUUCGACCCUCAAGCAGGAAUUAACCUUAUUUUCUCGACCUGAGCUCAGACAAGAACACCCGCUGAACUUAAGCAUAUCAAUAAGCGGAGGA
rnacentral:rRNA from 1 species